rnacentral:rRNA from 1 species
AUUGAACGCUGGCGGCAGGCUUAACACAUGCAAGUCGAGCGGAGAGAGGUAGCUUGCUACUGAUCUUAGCGGCGGACGGGUGAGUAAUGCUUAGGAAUCUGCCUAUUAGUGGGGGACAACAUUUCGAAAGGAAUGCUAAUACCGCAUACGUCCUACGGGAGAAAGCAGGGGAUCUUCGGACCUUGCGCUAAUAGAUGAGCCUAAGUCGGAUUAGCUAGUUGGUGGGGUAAAGGCCUACCCAGGCGACGAUCUGUAGCGGGUCUGAGAGGAUGGGCCGCCACACUGGGACUGAGACACGGCCCAGACUCCUACGGGAGGCAGCAGUGGGGAAUAUUGGACAAUGGGCGGGAGCCUGAUCCAGCCAUGCCGCGUGUGUGAAGAAGGCCUUAUGGUUGUAAAGCACUUUAAGCGAGGAGGAGGCUACUUUAGUUAAUACCUAGAGAUAGUGGACGUUACUCGCAGAAUAAGCACCGGCUAACUCUGUGCCAGCCGCCGCGGUAAUAC